rnacentral:rRNA from 1 species
UACGUAGGGUGCGAGCGUUAAUCGGAAUUACUGGGCGUAAAGCGUGCGUAGGCGGUCCGCAAAGUCUGAUGUGAAAGCCCCGGGCUCAACCUGGGAACUGCAUUGGAAACUAACGGGCUCGAGUGUGGCAGAGGGGGGUGGAAUUCCACGUGUAGCAGUGAAAUGCGUAGAGAUGUGGAGGAACACCGAUGGCCGAAGGCAGCCCCCUGGGCUAACACUGACGCUCAGGCGACGAAAAGCGUGGGGAGCAAACAGG